GUCCACGCCGUAAACGAUGGGUGCUAGGUGUCGCUGGCUUUGACUCCUGCGGUGCCGUAGCCAACGCAUUAAGCACCCCGCCUGGGAAGUACGGCCGCAAGGCUAAAACUCAAAGGAAUUGACGGUGGCCCCGCACAAGCGGUGGAGCAUGUGGUUUAAUUCGACGCAACGCGAAGAACCUUACCUGGGCUAGAAAACGCAGGAACCUGGUAGAAGUAUCGGGGUGCUCUUCGGAGAAUCUGUGGUUAGGUGCUGCAUGGCUGUCGU
rnacentral:rRNA from 1 species